CAAGUCGAACGGUAACAGGAAGCAGCUUGCUGCUUUGCUGACGAGUGGCGGACGGGUGAGUAAUGUCUGGGACUGCCUGGAGGGGGAAACUACUGGAACCGGUAGCUAAUACCGCAUAACGUCGCAAGCACAAAGAGGGGGACCUUAGGGCCUCUUGCCAUCGGAUGUGCCCAGAUGGGAUUAGCUAGUAGGUGGGGUAACGGCUCACCUAGGCGACGAUCCCUAGCUGGUCUGAGAGGAUGACCAGCAACACUGGAACUGAGACACGGUCCAGACUCCUACGGGAGGCAGCAGUGGGGAAUAUUGCACAAUGGGCGCAAGCCUGAUGCAGCCAUGCCGCGUGUAUGAAGAAGGCCUUCGGGUUGUAAAGUACUUUCAGCGGGGAGGAAGGGAGUAAAGUUAAUACCUUUGCUCAUUGACGUUACCCGCAGAAGAAGCACCGGCUAACUCCGUGCCAGCAGCCGCGGUAAUACGGAGGGUGCAAGCGUUAAUCGGAAUUACUGGGCGUAAAGCGCACGCAGGCGGUUUGUUAAGUCAGAUGUGAAAUCCCCGGGCUCAACCUGGGAACUGCAUCUGAUACUGGCAAGCUUGAGUCUCGUAGAGGGGGGUAGAAUUCCAGGUGUAGCGGUGAAAUGCGUAGAGAUCUGGAGGAAUACCGGUGGCAAGGCGGCCCCCUGGACGAAGACUGACGCUCAGGUGCGAAAGCGUGGGGAGAAACAGGAUUAGAUACCCUGGUAGUCCACGCCGUAAACGAUGUCGACUUGGAGGUUGUGCCCUUGAGGCGUGGCUUCCGGAGCUAACGCGUUAAGUCGACCGCCUGGGGAGUACGGCCGCAAGGUUAAAACUCAGGGGGCCGCACAAGCGGUGGAGCAUGUGGUUUAAUUCGAUGCAACGCGAAGAACCUUACCUGGUC
rnacentral:rRNA from 1 species